UGUAGUAGUAGUAGUAGUAGUAGAAGUAGAAGUAGUAGUAGUAGUAGUAGUAGCAGUAGUAGUAGUAGUAGUAGUAGUAGUAGGUAGUUGUUGUUGUUGUUGUGGCUGUUGUAAUAGUAGUAGUAGUUUUGCAGAAGUAGUAGUAGUAGUAGUAGUACUAGUAGUAGAAGUAAAAGUAGUAACUUUCAAAGCAAUGUCUACAAGUUUAAAUUCCUUAACCCUGUUCAAGGUGUAUACACACUCAAUAUUUAACUACAGUCCAGGUUUGCAAUUAACAAACUAUCUGAAAAGCCUGUGUGUGAGUCAGAUGUGUCUGCGGCUAAUCUAUUGGUUAUAAAAUAUCACAGCCUUUUCUGAUUGGCUGAGUUCAAAUACAGAAAGUUUACCUGUUAGAUUGAAAUUAUGGAGAAGGCGUAUUGAAGAAAAAAUGCAGGUUAAACUUGUUGUUAAAAUGAAGUUAAUGUAAUUUCACAAACAGUAGAGUUUAACUUAAUGAGUUUUUCCAUUAACAAGAAUUUCUUAAAAUAAUAAUGUAUGGAUAUCAUUUGGAAAGUGACAUGAAAUGUUGUUAAAAAGUGAUGCAUACAAGUGUUUCAGAAGUCUGUCUAGGAAUAGAACAACAACUGAAGCUGACCAGUUGAUGGAAGAUACUGCAGAGUUUGGCAGGGAAAUAACCCAAGACAGCAAAGCGGCUCUUUUGGCGCAUUUACCAAGAGGACUAACAUGGCCACAAAUUCAUGAGAUCAUGCAGGAGCCGUACAGUAUAACAGCAGUACAAGUUCUAUAAAAGAUCCACGACCUACUGAAGCCCAGCUAAUUAACAAAAAAGUUUUUAAAAACUGUAAUUUUAUCCCACCUGGGUACUUAUAAUUUACUAACUGUCACUUGGAAAGUAAUACAUGUACAUGCAUUCAUGUUCUGAAUUUCUUUGAACAAUAAAAUUAUAUAAAAGUAUUUUAAUGAAAUUGAGCACCUAAAUUGCAUUAAAGUGAAAGUAGCUGAGAAAAAUAGUAUCCUUAAUUGUUCUCAUGGGCAGCUACAUAUAUUGUGACAAACAUGAAGUAGCUAAAAUAACUUAAAUUUUUCAUUUUGUUUCUUGUAUAUCGUUUGUACAGGGUUCGUGAAUUGUUACUGUAUAUUACUUGACUUGCUUGUAUUUUGUUACUUUGAAUACAUGUUGUUAAGGUUGCAUUAUACUUUUUAACUUUUAAAGUAGCGCCUGUUCUGUUAUGUAAGGGCCUGAUUUAUGAUAAUGGACCUAGAGGCUUUGUAAGCAUGUAUUAAACAACACUUGUUUGAUCUGAAUAAUUUGUUAAAUAAAUGUAACACAAUUUGUAAUCUGAUGUUAUAUUUUGAUGAAUUGUGAACAAAAUAAUACAUCGAAGAAACUAA